AACCAUAGAGAGAGUGGUGCUCUUUGGGGCACUGAGUCACGUGUGGCGCGGGGUGUUCUCAUCGCGUGUUGAGAGGUUGGGUAAAAAUCCCUACAAAGAGCAACCCCCGUGAUUUUAGUUCCCCUCAUUAAGGUGGGCAUUUAAGGGACUGCCGGUGACAAACCGGAGGAAGGGGGGAGACGUCAAUCAUCAUGCCCUUAGCCUGGGCUACACACGUGCUACAAUGGUCGGUACAAAGAGUUGCCAGACCGCGAGGUGGAGUAACCCCAAAACCGUUCUCCCCCCCCCCCCCGGCGGC
rnacentral:rRNA from 1 species